UACGAAGGUGGCUAGCGAUGUUCGGAUUUACUGGGCGUAAAGCGCACGUAGGCGGAUUUUUAAGUCAGGGGUGAAAUCCCAAGGCUCAACCUUGGAACUGCCUUUGAUACUGGAAGUCUCGAGUCCGGGAGAGGUGAGUGGAACUGCGAGUGUAGAGGUGAAAUUCGUAGAUAUUCGCAAGAACACCAGUGGCGAAGGCGGCUCACUGGCCCGGAACUGACGCUGAGGUGCGAAAGCGUGGGGAGCAAACAGG
rnacentral:rRNA from 1 species